CCUACGGGAGGCUGCAGUAGGGAAUAUUGCUCAAUGGGGGAAACCCUGAAGCAGCAACGCCGCGUGGAGGAUGAAGGUUUUAGGAUUGUAAACCCCUUUUUUGAGAGAAGAUAAUGACGGUAUCUCACGAAUAAGCACCGGCUAACUCCGUGCCAGCAGCCGCGGUAAUACGGAGGGUGCAAGCGUUACUCGGAAUCACUGGGCGUAAAGAGUGCGCAAGCGGGCUUGUAAGUCAGAUGUGAAAUCCUGUAGCUUAACUACAGAACUGCAUUUGAAACUAUGAGUCUAGAGUGUGGGAGAGGUAGGUGGAAUUCUUGGUGUAGGGGUAAAAUGCGUAGAUAUCAAGAGGAAUACUCAUUGCGAAGGCGACCUACUGGAACAUUACUGACGCUCAUGCACGAAAGCGUGGGGAGCAAACAGGAUUAGAUACCCCAGUAGUC
rnacentral:rRNA from 1 species